rnacentral:lncRNA from 1 species
GCGAAUCUGGAUUGGGAAAGUUGAUAUUAAUCAACUCAUUAUUCCUCACAGAUUUGUAUUCUCCAGAGUAUCCAGGUCCUUCUCAGAGAAUUAAAAAGCCUGUACAGGUGGAACAAUCCAAAGUUUUAAUCAGAGAAGGUGGUGUUCAGUUGCUGCUUACAAUAGUUGAUACCCCAGUAUUUGGAGAUGCAGUGGAUAACAGUAAUUGCUGGCAGCCUGCUAUCAAUUACAUUGAUAGUAAAUUUGAGGACUACCUAAAUGCAGAAUCGCAAGUGAACAGAUGUCAGAUGCCUGGUAACAGGGUGCAGUGUUGUUUAUACUUCAUUGCUCCUUCAGGACAUGG